ACGAAAGUUGUCAGUCUUCUCGUGUAACUCUUGGCAAGAUUUAAAGUUUGGUGUGUUUGCUGGCUGGUGUGGAUUCAUUUAAUCUGGCAUGGAGAUGUUUUUUUUCCUCAGUUUUUCUUCUCCAUUUUACCAUGAUUAUUUUGUCCAGGUUGGGUUGGGUGUAUUUGAUUUGGCUGUUUUAAAUUGGUUCCUGUUUAGGCUCUCUAGCAGCGGGUGUUUUGUGGUUUGAUUUGGUUUCCUCUGACAUGUUUUGUCCUGGCCACAUUUGCUCGGGAUUGUUGUGAUUAGUCUCAUGGACCAGCAUAUCAAGUUAGUUUGGACUAGUUUGAGUUAAAUUGAUUGUGUCUGUCAGUUCUCUUACAUUUUACCGCUUUCCUUUGCUGUGGGUUGUUUAAGUUGGUUUUAUUUCCUUCACUCUGGUUCACUUGUGGUUUGCCCUCUUUAGCUGGGAUUUCUUAGCUUGACUUGGAGCGGCUGGCUUGAUUUGCCUGGAUGACUCUGUUGGGUAUACAUUGGUCUGAACUGCUACAGAGCUGCAUUGCUCCAUGGAGGCUGAUGUAACACUGAGCCAAAGAGCUGCAACACUGCGUCUGACACUGCAGUGCUGCUCACAUGUAGAGAUGCUUUGAUACAAGGUAAAAACAGGCUCAUAUACUGUAUGUGCAUGGACACAGAUUCCUCUCAGAAAGCCGCAGAAGGGGAACUCUCUUUUUUUUGUUUUUUGCAGCGCUCAUCAAAGAGGCGUCACGUAUCAUAGGAAGUACUCUACAUUUUAAUGAGGAAUGUGAAUAAAAUUUUAAAAAGAAGGGCAGGGUCACAUGAUGUAAGCUUCUUUGUGAAGAAACAUGUCAUAGAGAAAAUGUAAAUAACCAACUGCCCUACAAACUCUGCUUUUAAGUGUGUGUGUGUGUGUGUGUGAAUGUGGGAUGUUUCUCAUACUGGAGCCCACAUAGAUAAUAAAAUAAGAUUUUAAAGCGACAUUAGACGAGAGGGAGCGCUGUUAUACUGAAUAUCAGUACAGCUGUGAUUCAGUCUUAGGCGCACACAGUCCUCCGCCUCGCAGCGGUGAGGCGUUUUAUGACAGUACUAUUCCAAGCAACACGUAAACACUUCCUGAACAUUAAUUUGCCAGCUACUUUGUGUAGGUCUGCAUGUUACCACAGUUUAGCAACAUAAGCAGUAGUGCAUCUCUUCAAGGGUGCAUGGAUAUUUUGAGGGACUGUUGCUCUAACCAAUACAAUAAUCCUAACCCUAUGACAAACCCUGCAACCUAUAAGUUAGCCUGCUAGGUAGAUAAGAUUGGUUCAUUUGACGGCAUAAUAUAAGGCAGUGUUGCAGGAUAUGAUGCAAACAGUGACUGUUUUCUUCAGAGGACAUCCCAUUGGUUAUACCAGCCGUCGUUCAUCAUUCCAGGACUUCAAAAUACUUGCCUGGAGCCCUCACACAAUGACAAUUAUGGGUUACUCGUAUCUAUGCAGCCACGGAAGCUGGAGGAGCAGCUCAGACAAAGAGGGCAAAUGGGCUGUUGGUGAGUCCAAAUCUGGACUGGCUACAAUUUGCCUACCAAUCAGUCAUCACUGCUAAGGUGGAAGCUGCAAGCAGCUGCAUGGACUGUCUCUGACUACCUCACCGACAGACCACAACGUCAGACUUCAGACACAACACUGACAGCUGUCACCACCAGGAGUUAUCUGAUGAUACUGAUGAUGUGUAUCAGAUCACCUUUAAAUCAGUGCCAGCAAGAUGAUGGAGAUGGUCGCUGACUUCAGGAGGAGGACACCUCAGACCAGACUUGGGAACAUGGUGGGAGCAUACAGAUGCCUGGGUGAUCAACUCAACAAUAAACUGGACUGGUUGGACAAAAGAGACUUCCUGUACAAGGAGGGUCAUAGUCGUCUCCACUUACUGAGGGAGACUGAGGUCCUUUUGGAAUCUGCAUUUUCCUAUGAAGUCAUCUGCUGGGGAGGGGGAAGCACGGAGGGAGACAGGAAAGGGCCAGCUCUGUCCUGGACUGCCCCCUAGUCUCCAUAGAGGAAAUGGGGGAGAGGGGGAUGUUAGCAAAGCUGACAUCCAUCAUGAACAACUCCUCUCGCCCCGUGCAUGAGACUGUGGUGGCUUUAAACAGACUGCUACUGCCACCAUGUAAGAAGGAGUGCUACCACAGGCAGGUCCACAGUUCAUCAUGUAAUCCUUUAAAACAUAUUUGACUUAUAGCAAGAGACGGCAGAAAAAUGAACACAGGGACACAUGACAAGAACUUGGAGUUUUUAUUUCAGCAUGUCUUCAAAAGAGGUAAAACUCUCAGAGAGUGUUGAAAUCUGUCUUCUGACGUUUGGCCAUGUCAUGGACCUUAUCUAAAAAGCAGAACUACUAUAAAAAUCUCUUAAUAGUUAACACUAUUCAAUGCCUUAACCCAUUACUACACUUCUCAUAUUUUUUUUCUUUACAUUUUUUCUUUAUUUUUUGCAUUACUGCCGGGGUUACAGUUUGAUGUCAGUUUAUCAUCUUGCUAAAUACAUUUCUUUUCUAUUCUGCAGUUAAAUGUAUACGUUGAUCUGAAUUAUGUUUUGGAUUGUUUCCUUAACCUGUUUCGUUCAGUCUCUUUUGGAUGGGAAGAAAACAGAAAUAAGAGUUCUGACAUAAAUAGACUUGAAGUUAUUUCCGCAUUUUCUUACAACUGAAAAAAGAGGGGAAGCUGGCAGAGUUAAAAACAACAACAACAUGGGAGUUUAAGUCUGAUAAAAAUAUAGAUAUUUGAAAGUAUAAGAUAAGAUAGGAUAAGAUAAAACAUGUUCUUCUAUAUAACUGGCAUAUCUUAUUUCAAUAUGCUAAAACCGGUUAUAGUCUGUCUGUAUUUAUUUUAGCUCAGCAAGGUAAUACUGUCAUGCAAAACACAAAGAGGUUUCAUCUCGUACAUUAUAUAUCUUUCAAUCUAACUGCUGCUGAUCUAACCAGAUGUCAAAUAAAUGUAGUGGAAUUAAAAGUCUCUAAAGUGGAGUAAAAGAUCAAAUACCUCGAAAUUGAAGCUACAGUACUUCACUAAAUAUACUUAGCUACAACAAAUAUGUGUUGAGCCGAUAUCAGCUGAUAAUACUGUCUGUCAAAACAUUAGUCAGACUCUGGUUCACACUCCAACAGGCAGAUUUCCAUCUGAAUCCUGUAUUUUGAGCCCUGUCUGUGAACCAAAAUCAAACAUCUAGCAGACAUCACGUCUGCUGUUCCAUAUUUGGUUGUAUCUGCUGCCAACACAUAGUAAACAGGGGACAUCUGAUACCUUUGUGAUGUUCGCAGCCGCGUGGAGCGUUGGCAGUAUUAGCUUACUAAUCUCUGCUGAGCCUACAUGUUUUGUUUACAGCUACCUUCUUAUGUAAAAACACAGAAUAUCCAGUAGAAGAUAUUAUCUGUUGUGUCAAGAUGGCUGAGCUGUUUUUCCACAGAAACUGUAGAUCAUGAGGCAGAGGGAAGUGAGUGUGCGUGCGUGGGAGAUUGUAAUCGUGAUCAACAGUACAUCAACUUUUACUGGACUUUUGUCGGUUAACAGUUUAUGUAGUACUGUACUGUACAUUUGAAUGUGUCAGCUUGCAUGCGUGGAUCUAAGUGAAAUAAACAUCUGUACUCCUUAACCAGAUCAAUGGUCACACACCAACAACUUUUUCACAGAUUUUAGUCAAACUGGAUCAUAUUUUAUGGAGAAAAUGUUUUCUGCCUUUCGUCUGAUGUCCUCUUAUCAACUCCCAGUCAUUGAUAGAGUUUCUAGUCAGUGAGGUCAGAGGACCAGGGGAGUGUUAGGUGUUUGUACUACAGGUGUUUUGGACCACCGGGAAGAGGAAUGCUUACAAAUGCUGACGUGGAGCAGAGCAAGUGUCGUGCCAGAACAGGAGCUGAGCAAGCAGCCAAUAUAAUUGGGGUAAGGGACGUGGAGGGAGUUAAAAAAGAGUGAAGGGGAUGUUGAUGGAAGAAGCUAAGAAGUGAAAGGAGGGAGUGACCGAGCAAGAAGCUGCUGGGCAAGAGUAAAUCUGACUUUUGGUUCUUGGCGAGAACUUUAUAUAUAAUAAGUAAUAUUAGCUGGCUGCUAUUUCUUGUGUUGUUACACUUACUUUGCAUUUGGCUGCUAGCAAAGUAAGUAAUAUAAUCAUAAGAAAUGUACAGUUAUCCAUAUUUAU